GUUAGGAGUUAGGGUUGUCCUUAAUUUUUCUCUCCACUUGCUUAACAUGUUGUACCAGUCUAUACCUGUCCAGCAACUCCAGGGUGUGCCUACGUCAUAAAUUCAGACAGAGCAGAGAGUUUCUUCAGAAGUGGACUUAUCAAGGCAACAGUGCUGUUAAUCUGAAGAACAAUGGCAGAUACAAACCCAGAUAAAACCCCUCAGUGCGAUAAGAGCAAACAAUGCCACGGUGAAGGCAAGGGUGAAGGCAAGGGUGAAGGCAAGGGAAAAGGACCAGGCCAAGGUCAAGGCAAGGGCCAGGGUCAUGGUCAUGGUCACGGACAUGGUCAUGGUCAUGGUCACGGUCACGGACCUGGAAAGGAUGGAAAGGAUUGCAAAGGCAACCCAUAAUGACAAGGAGCUGAAUGAAGAGACCUCUGAAGUCUGUCUGAUACUGUUUUUUCUUGCACCAUGACUAAUAAAAUAAAACAUGUAUAAGUAUACCACAUAUGUUUGUUUUUAAUUAAAUGAUAAUAAAGUACUGGUAUCAGAG